CCGUGCUAGGCGGGGCGCUAGCGGUGCCCUGUAACCUGCAAACCGCUUUAGCAGGGCUGACCACUUCGUGAGGGGUAGGUCCCUCGGCGGAUAAGGGCCGCUGGAGUGGCGUUGACGGGCAAGUCCCAUGGAGUCGGGCGGCUGUGAACCUGGUCAGGGGCGGAAGCCAGCAGCCAUAAGCAGUACCCCGGCUUGCCGUGGGGUAGCUUGCCUCGAGCCGUUCCUCGGCUACUGCCUCGAGGAACCGCUUCGAUCGGAGCGCACGG
rnacentral:SRP_RNA from 1 species